GACGAACGCUGGCGGCGCGCCUAACACAUGCAAGUCGAACGGAGCGUACUGUGUGAAGCCCUUCGGGGUAGAACUUUGUAUUGCUUAGUGGCGAACGGGUGAGUAACACGUGAGCAACCUAUCCUAGAGUGGGGGACAACAUCUGGAAACGGAUGCUAAUACCGCAUAAGACCACGAGGUCAAAUGACCUUGAGGCCAAAGGAUUUAUUCGCUUUAGGAUGGGCUCGCGCCUGAUUAGCUAGUUGGUAAGGUAACGGCUUACCAAGGCAACGAUCAGUAGCCGGACUGAGAGGUCGAUCGGCCACAUUGGGACUGAGACACGGCCCAGACUCCUACGGGAGGCAGCAGUGGGGAAUAUUGCGCAAUGGGCGAAAGCCUGACGCAGCGACGCCGCGUGAGGGAUGAAGGCCUUCGGGUCGUAAACCUCUGUCAGGAGGGAAGAAGUGCAUUUGUGCUAAUCAGCGAAUGUUUGACGGUACCUCCAAAGGAAGCACCGGCUAACUCCGUGCCAGCCGCCGCUGAAAC
rnacentral:rRNA from 1 species